UACGUAGGGAGCAAGCGUUGUUCGGAUUUACUGGGCGUAAAGGGCGCGUAGGCGGCAGGUUAAGUCAGCUGUGAAAUCUCCGAGCUUAACUCGGAACUGUCAGCUGAUACUGAUGUGCCAGAGUGCAGAAGGGGCAAUCGGAAUUCUUGGUGUAGCGGUGAAAUGCGUAGAUAUCAAGAGGAACACCUGAGGUGAAGACGGGUUGCUGGGCUAACACUGACGCUGAGGCGCGAAAGCCAGGGGAGCAAACGGG
rnacentral:rRNA from 1 species